CACUCAAAGCCCGCAUCGAGUAUCUCUGAAUGGCUGGGCAUAACUACGAAAAGCACACUCGGCUGCCACAAAGCUAACCUAUUUUUUCCUCCUUCACCUUGGAAGCUAAGAAGGAACGUGGUGUGGCUGGAGGAACCACUGUAAACCUGACUUUGCCCCAUCUGGUACCCAGGCAGAAGCAGAGGAGGUGAAGAGGAUGUGAGACCCAGAGGGGAGACCAGAUGAAGCAGGGGACACAACAAGCUGCCUGCCCCAGAUGAGGAAGAGGAGCAUUCUGGUCUGCCUGUGUCCAGGUCGAGAGCCACCAGCCUCAUGAGGGAGACCUGCGGUUGCCUCACUGAGCCGUCAGGGGCGAAGUCCAUCUCAUUCAG